GGGCGACGGCGCUGCCGCCAUUUUGUGGGGUGUUUGUCGCAGCGGCCGAGGAGGGAAGACGGCAGUUUGGCGACAUUUCUCGGCCGAAGGGCCAUUUGCUUUUGCGGAGAUGCGGCAUUCCAAAAGAACUCACUGUCCUGAUUGGGAUAGCAGAGAAAGCUGGGGACAUGAAAGCUACCGUGGAAGUCACAAGCGGAAGAGGAGAUCUCAUAGUAGCACACAAGAGAACAGGCAUUGUAAACCACAUCACCAGUUUAAAGAAUCUGAUUGUCAUUAUUUAGAAGCAAGGUCCUUGAAUGAGCGAGAUUAUCGGGACCGGAGAUACGUUGACGAGUACAGGAAUGACUACUGUGAAGGAUAUGUUCCUAGACAUUAUCACAGAGACAUUGAAAACGGUUAUCGAAUCCACUGCAGUAAAUCUUCAGUCCGCAGCAGGAGAAGCAGUCCUAAAAGGAAGCGCAAUAGACACUGUUCAAGUCAUCAGUCACGUUCGAAGAGCCACCGAAGGAAAAGAUCCAGGAGUAUAGAGGAUGAUGAGGAGGGUCACCUGAUCUGUCAAAGUGGAGACGUUCUAAGAGCAAGAUGUAUAGAAUAUUUUUCAACACUUUUUAAACUUUGCAGAAAGAAUAAUCUUUUUAAGAAUAGUUUGUCAGCGGGGGGCUAAAGAACUCUUCAUUGCUUUUUUAUUUUGUUUUUUGUGGGUUUGUUUGUUCUUUUGUAUUUCUUCUUUUCUGUAGAAUUUAAAUAUUUCUAUUCUAAAGUUCCAAAAUAAUAGUGGAAUUUGAGAUUAGAGCAAGAAAGAUAGCUCUAUCUAAUUGUUUUUGUAGCAGCUGAAACUAAAAUAAUUUGAGUGCUG
rnacentral:sRNA from 1 species